UCAGCAUUGCCGGUGGACUCAUCUUGAUGAAGAUUGCCUGAUUUAGUUACUGGAUGGCUGCAAGAACAAUGUGUUCCACUGGAUUCUAGCAUUAAGUGGAAAGAAGAUGAUCCACAGAUCCAAAUCCAGCCAGUUCAUUAAAAUGCAUAAAUUACAUGGAAUGCCGCGAUUUUGGUAAUGCGAGGUAAGUCAAACAAUAAAAAUACUAGAUUAAUUGUUGUAUGAAACAGAUGUUAAUAAGUUGCAAGCGGAAUUUAAAAAAAAAAAAAGAAAAGACUCGUCGGCUGUGGCCGACUAAGAGUUACCCUAUGUCCCUAUAUCCAGAGAUUCCACAUAUAGACACACAUCUUCUCUUGGACCCACACUUAGGCACACACAUUCCUGUAUUAUUUCGGAUGGUCAAGCUUUACCCUUAAAUUUGUUGCCUUUUGUUUUUUGAGGUGGGAAUUAAAAAAAAAGUAGACUAAUCAUGAUAUUGAUACUAGAGUCUCGAUACCAAGUAAAUAUUUCAUGAAUUUUACUUGGCAUUUGCCAAACGAAUUCUCGAUUGAUGGCGACACGUCAAGUACUUGGCAUCUCGGACAUUUGAGCGCCGGGGCAUCGGAUGGCGGUCACCCAGACCACCAGGAUUAGGAGUGACAGUCAGCAAAUGUUUGUGUCGCAACAAUUAUAAGCACCAUCACCAUGACACAGAGAAUAGAACAGAUUUCAAUGUUCAACAUAUGCAUAACCUUUCAGUUUUGAUUUUGUGGCGCCAUCUGUUAUUCAUUAUUAACUGUCGCAACGACAAAAACAGAAUAUCCGACUAAUGUGUACUCUUUGACAAUUAUAUGGCCCUUUAUAAAUAUCGCCUAGAAUUGUUUAACUCCUACGGGCUAACGCUAUAGCAUGUUGUAAGUGGCAGCUAAUCGAAUCUAAUGCGUUUACAGUGUUCCGGGUUCCUGGUCGCAACUGGUUUCACCCGUGUGGUUGGCGGGCACGAGAAUAACCACCACAGUAUGUCACCGCUUGUCGUACGAGGCGACUAAAAGAGACACUUGCCGGGAGCGGGUGCCAAUCCUGGCGAGCCAGAAUUACGAUGGCCACCCCAGCGCUUUAGAUAUUACCACGGUCUUGAGCCGUUCCAAGUAUCUUCCAAUAGUAUCUUUUGGGGUCUCGGCUUUGCUGAUAGUUUCAGACCUUACCAAUUGGGCUUAUGUAAAACCAUUAAAUAAAGAUCUACAGAUAUAUAUCAGA